rnacentral:lncRNA from 1 species
GGCAACCGGCUCGGGUCUCCUUACGCACUGUGGAAGCUUUGUUCCUUCGCUCUUUGCAAUAAAUCUUGCUACUGCUCACACUUUGGGUCCACACUGCCUUUAUGAGCUGUAACACUCACCGGGAAGGCCUGCAGCUUCACUCCUGAGCCAGCGAGACCACGAGCCCACCAGGAGGAACGAACAACUCCAGAGGCGCCGCCUUAAGAGCUGUAACCCGGCAAAGGUCUGCAGCUUCACUCCUGAGCCAGGGAGACCACGAACCCACCAGAAGGAAGAAACUCCAAACACAUCCGAACAUCAGAAGGAACAAACUCCAGACGCGCCACCUUAAGAGCUGUAACACUCACUGGGAGGGUCCGCGGCUUCAUUCUUGAAGUCAGUGAGACCAAGAACCCACCAAUUCCGGACACAUAACCACUAUGCUAGACCAGAUACAGGAAAUCUUCAUAACCUCAGGAAGUUCUCCUGUGCCUCUUUGCAGUCACUUCCUCUCCGUGUCUUCCUCCCACCCCCGCCAUCUGAGGCAACCACAACUGGAAUUUCUAUCAUAUUGUGUUAAAUUACUACUUCUAGAAAUUCAUGUAAAUGAAAUCAACCAGAAUGUGAUGUUUUCAGACAGAGUCUGUCACCAGGCUGGAGUGCAGUGGUGUGAUCUCGGUUCACUGUAACCUCUGCCUCCCAGGUUUCAAGCAAUUCUCCUGCCUCAGCCUCCCAAGUAGCUAGGACUACAGGCAUGCACCACCAUGCCCAGCUAAUUUUUGUAUUUUUAAUAGAAACAAGGUUUCACCAUGUUGGCCAGGGUGGUCUCAAUCUCCUGACUUCGUGAUCCACCCACCUUGGCCUCCCAAAGUGCUGAGAUUAUAGGCGUGAGCCACUGUACUCAGCCAUAUCUUUUUAAUUCGCGUAUUAAAUUCCAUUUGGAAUUCAUAUUCAUGUUUGAAAUUAGGAAGAGGUUUAACUAUAUACACACACAAAACACACAUUGACAUAUAUUUACAAAUAAACAAUUGUAUAAAUUCCUUUAUUGAAAAACUCGUAUUUUCCAAGUUGGUUGAGUCACCAUUAUCAUAUAUUAAAUGAUCAUACAUGUAUGGUUCUGCUUAUAUUUAUUUCUCUACACUAGGUAGAAUAUUUAAUAAUGUUGGAACAGAUACCACUGUCUUGUUCUGGCCUUAUUAAAAAUGUCUUUAUACUCGAGAAGCAAUAUGAUGUUUGAUAUUGAUCUUAGAUAAUUAUGUUUCAUAAUAUUCAGAAAUUCAUUUAGUCCAAUUGUAUCUUGGUAAUUUUAUAAAAAAUGUGUGCUGUAUAUUAUCAAUAUUUUUGUGUCUACUAUAUAUUCAUAAUUUCUCCCCAUUAUUUGCUAACUUGAUGAUAAAUGUUUGUUUUCUCAUACUUAUCCAUCCUUGAAUUGCUAAAAUUGAAUAUGUUUGGUCACAUUUUUGCAUUUCUAAUGGGGCAUGGAUACAUCUGUUACAAAUUUAGAUGCUAUAUUUAACUAUGAAAAAAUGUUUUUUAAUAAAGGACCCA